UACGGAGGGGGUUAGCGUUGUUCGGAACUACUGGGCGUAAAGCGCGCGUAGGCGGACCAGAAAGUUGGGGGUGAAAUCCCGGGGCUCAACCCCGGAACGGCCUCCAAAACUCCUGGNCUUGAGUUCGAGAGAGGUGAGUGGAAUUCCGAGUGUAGAGGUGAAAUUCGUAGAUAUUCGGAGGAACACCAGUGGCGAAGGCGGCUCACUGGCUCGAUACUGACGCUGAGGUGCGAAAGUGUGGGGAGCAAACAGG
rnacentral:rRNA from 1 species